rnacentral:rRNA from 1 species
GAUCUCACCCCCACUUAAAACACAAGGAUCUGGUCCCAACCCUUAAACCAAUUACUACUUAACUUACACAUGCAAGUCUCAGCGCACCAGUGAGAAAGCCCCUACCACAAAGUAGGGAGCGGGUAUCAGGCACAGUAAUUUGCCCACGACACCUAGCCCCGCCACACCCACAAGGGCAUGCAGCAGUGAUUAAUAUUAAGACAUAAACGCCAGUUUGACUUAGUUAUAGUAUUAAGAGCCGGCCAAUCCGGUGCCAGCCGCCGCGGUUACACCGCUGAGGCUCAAGUUGGUUUACUUCGGCGUAAAGCGUGGUUAAAGCUAUUAUCUCGAUUAAGACUAAACUCAAGCUAAACUGUUUAAAGUCUUGCUUCCAGGAAAAUCAUAAACGAAAGUUGUCUUAACUUCCUCUUCUUGAACCCACGACAACUAGGACACAAACUGGGAUUAGAUACCCCACUAUGCC